rnacentral:rRNA from 1 species
GAGUUUGAUCGUGGCUCAGGACGAACGCUGGCGGCGUGCUUAACACAUGCAAGUCGAACGGAAAGGCCCUGCUUUUGUGGGGUGCUCGAGUGGCGAACGGGUGAGUAACACGUGAGUAACCUGCCCUUGACUUUGGGAUAACUUCAGGAAACUGGGGCUAAUACCGGAUAGGAGCUCCUGCUGCAUGGUGGGGGUUGGAAAGUUUCGGCGGUUGGGGAUGGACUCGCGGCUUAUCAGCUUGUUGGUGGGGUAGUGGCUUACCAAGGCUUUGGCGGGUAGCCGGCCUGAGAGGGUGACCGGCCACAUUGGGACUGAGAUACGGCCCAGACUCCUACGGGAGGCAGCAGUGGGGAAUAUUGCACAAUGGGCGGAAGCCUGAUGCAGCAACGCCGCGUGCGGGAUGACGGCCU